GUGUUCCUGUGUGUGUUUGUAUGUUCCUGUGUGUGUUUGUGUGUUCCUGUGUGUGUUUGUGUGUUCCUGUGUUUGUGUGUGUUUGUGUGUUGUCUCUCCACACAGACUGUGUUAUUACGUAAUGACAGCUCCAGUUGAGAUAUUUCUGUUAGUCAUGGACGUGUUCCGUUAGCGGCUCUUACGGCUGCCAGGAGCUGAUGGCCUCCAGAUGGAAGUCUCUCCGUUCUCUGUCCUACACACUGACUGGGAGAUCUGGGUGUGACAACGCAGCAUGAGAUACAAACAUUAAAGGGAAUAUAUCCCCCUUGAUGUGUGACAGGCCCCGCCCUUUCUGCAGAGCUUAGAGACGCAAGAGAUCAGAACUGAGAGAAAGAGAGCAGAAUUAUCCCUCAGUCCCAGAGUCAUGGAGAAGUCGUGGAGGAGUCGUGGAGGAGUCGUGGAGGAGUCGUGGAGGAGUCGUGGAGGAGACGUGGAGGAGUCGUGGAGGAAUCGUGGAGAAGACGUGGAGAAGACGUGAGAUCAUGUAUGUGGAAGAGUGCAGAUAGCGCUUUCCUCUGAGUGUGAUGUUACACAGCCCUGUGAUGCAGCAUGAGCAGCAGUUUGAAGAUGCAGUUUGGCUUCAUGUGUCUCGGAGGAAGCCUGUAUUAGCCGUUGUGUGAUAGAUCUGAUCUGGCCUCCUGAUGUAAAGGAGAAAUGUGUGUGGACGAGGUCGAGUCUGAGUUCUUCAGGAACGGGAAUAAAACCUGCUGUGCUGAAGUGAUGUGACGAGACAUGAUGAAGGAGAGAUGUGAGGUCCUGAGGGAUAACCUGCAUUGCUCUAGAAACUUCCUCCUAAACUUUAAAGGGUUCACUGCUACACAUACCUUAAGAACAUUAACUAAUGGAUCCACACACACACACACACACAAAGCUGAAUAGUAAGCAGAAAUGACUGGAGGUUAGAUAAAAGAGGAAAGCAUUGACCUGGGGUCAGCAGCUAGAGACUUUCUGUCAAACACACACACACACACACAC